rnacentral:rRNA from 1 species
GACGGGGGAUGCGAGCGUUAUCCGGAAUGAUUGGGCGUAAAGGGUCCGCAGGUGGCCCGGUCAGUCCGCUGUCAAAGCCUGGGGCUCAACCCUGGAGAGGCGGCGGAGACCACCGGUCUUGAGUCCGGUAGGGGCAGAGGGAAUUCCCGGUGGAGCGGUGAAAUGCGUAGAGAUCGGGAAGAACAUCGGUGGCGAAGGCGCUCUACUGGACCACAACUGACACUCAGGGACGAAAGCUAGGGGAGCGAAUGGG